UUGGGCUGGCCUUUCAAGGCCUGGGUUGGGUUGGAGUGGUGGAGUGGGCGCCCCGUGGAUCCCUGAUUCAGGGAGAAGCUUCCGUUUUUCCCUGUUCACAGGUGGGUUUUGCACCAGCCCUGCUAGCUCCAGGGUCCCCUCUCGUGAAGGAAGCCCUUCCCGAGGCGCAGCCCCCUUCCGAGCUUCUCCUCCACAGCAGCGGCUCCUGUUUAAGGUGCUGAAACCACGUCCCCAGGCCCUUAGAGAUGACAGGUGGCCGCCCACUGACAGGCACCUGUGUUAUCAGUUUCAUCAGAAAGGUUUUACGCUCAGCUUUCAGUUCUAGGGUGAUUUUUGUCCCUUGAGAGCAGACAGUUAUUCACUCUAACUCUGCGUCCCAUCCGGGCACGGAGCGUCUGCCCAGGCCAGGGUCACGGUCAGCGAGCUUCAGCCGCUGUGGGAACCUCGUCAGGCCCCUGGAGCCUCUCAGAGGGCGGAUGGAGAUGCGAGGUCAGCACCCAGGCGUCCUCAGGCAGUGUCCUCUCGGGUUCAUUACUAGGAUACCUCUACCGCCCUGGCCUCCUCGGGUCCUGCCUGGAGGUGUCUAGGAUGGAUCCUGUCGCCUCGGCCCCUGCUCCGCUUAGUUUGCAGACGUCCUUGGACCCCAAGGGUCCUCUGGUUACACAGACCCGUCCUUCCCGACGCCUGACCCUGAUGCGUGAUGGCCCCGGACGCGGUCUUCUCCCCAUCUCCCCGUAGCUCACAGCAAACCCACCGGACGCUCGUCUUCCUGAAGGUCACUCUGAUCUCCUUUCCACCUGAGCUCUGGUGUCACCUUGGGGACAUGGCUCCCCAGGUGGCUGCUGUCCCUCCCUCUCCCUUCCUCCUAUCAGCGAUUUGGGGGUGUGGGGGUGGAUUCCCCCAGUUCAGAGCCCCGACCCUCUAUUCUGAUCAAGACCCUGCCCAGGGCAGCUUCAGAGAGCGGCGCAGCCUGCUCCUCCCUGCCCUGACACACACAGGCGCAGAGCGCUUUACCAGAUACGUUUAUGUUCACUCUUUCUCCUUUUUUUUUAAUGGAGAUGAUACAAAAAGC
rnacentral:lncRNA from 1 species